rnacentral:rRNA from 1 species
GCUUACGGCCACACCUCCCGAGCACUGCCCGAUCUCGUCUGAUCUCGAAGCUAAGCAUGGUCGGGCCCGGUUAGUACUUGGAUGGGAGACCGCCUGGGGAAUACCAGGUGCUGUAAGCC